rnacentral:rRNA from 1 species
GACAGAGGAGGCGAGCGUUAUCCGGAGUCAUUGGGCGUAAAGGGUACGUAGGCGGCUAGUCAAGUCUGAGGUUAAAGACCACAGCUUAACUGUGGGAAGGCCUUGGAAACUGACCGGCUGGAGUGGGGCAGGGGUUGCGGGAAUUCCCGGUGUAGCGGUGAAAUGCGUAGAUAUCGGGAAGAACACCUGAGGCGAGAGCGCGCAACUGGGCCCUAACUGACGCUGAGGUACGAAAGCUAGGGGAGCGAAUGGG